rnacentral:rRNA from 1 species
CAGGCCUAACACAUGCAAGUCGUACGAGAACUCUUCUGCUUGCAGAGAUAGUAAAGUGGCGCACGGGUGAGUAACGCGUGGGUAAUCUACCUCCAAUCGGGGAUAACCCGCCGAAAGGCGAGCUAAUACCGGAUAAUAUCUUUAAACCUCGGUUUUUAAGAUCAAAGGUGGUCUCUACAUGUAAGCUACUGUUGGAGAUGAGCCCGCGUACCAUUAGCUUGUUGGUAGGGUAAUGGCCUACAAGGCCGCGAUGGUUAGCUGGUCUGAGAGGAUGAUCAGCCACACUGGAAUGACACACGGUCCAGACUCCUACGGGAGGCAGCGGUGAGGAAUUUUGCGAAUGGGGGAAACCCUGACGCAGCAACGCCGCGUGAGUGAUGAAGGCUUUGGGUCGUAAAGCUCUGUCAAGUGGGAAGAACCUGCUCGAUGUUAACACCUCUAGCACUGACGGUACCACUAAAGGAAGCACCGUCUAACUCCGUGCCACAGCCGCGGUAAU